GGGAGGUAUGGUACUGACCGAAGGAGCGGAGUUCGAAAAGUGCAGAGAAGGUCCUCCAAGUGAAGCUGGAAGACCUGGAAGAGGUGCCAGACUCCGUUUCUGCCAUGCUUCCUGUUAUCUGUUGUCACUGUGGAAGGCGCUGGAGAUCCUACAUCUCUGCUCUUGACCUGAACCUGAACCUGAACCUGAAGGCUUGCUUCAGCCGAUGGCCGCGCGGGUGCUUAGACGGAGUGACAGAAGGGGGAGCUCUGAGUCAGUGGUCCAAGUGGAGGCACACGUAUCCACGGGCUGUGUGUGCUGAAAGCCUACGCCCCUGCAGCAGCGUCCACAGGGUACGACUUGCAUUCACAGAAGAACCAGAGUUCCUCCCGGAAUGCCAAACAGCUUCCCACGAGUAGCCAGCAGUUCCUGUCUGCUUGGAUUCUUCUUCAAAGCUCAUCCCAGUGUCUCAGUCCUGAACUCACAGUCAGUAUGAGCAAGAGCACAAAUGCGGGAGUGGAUGGCAGCCUCAGAUCGUCACGUAGUCAUUCAACUAAUGUUCUCUACGGUGGGCACGGCGCUCGGUUGCGGUACUUUACCUGGAUAGUUAAGCUACUUGGGGUGAACACAGAUCAUCCCUCUACAGUGUCACAUACAACCCUCAACAGAGGGAAGGAAUCCAUUUAAUACAUGGCAGAUAAUGAAAGCCCCAAAUGUAUCUCUUCAAAACCUACGAAAAUAGUCUCACAGUCACCUCCAUGAAAAUUCAGGUAAGCGAGGGGACUCAUGCUGGGCUCUUGACACUUAGAUUUAGGACUAUUUUUGCCUGGAUGUUUUCAACUAGAGAGAGAAGGUAAGAUAGAUCCAGAUAAUGGAGAGAUGAUGCCCAAGGUCCUCCACACUGUACUUGGUGACACUUGCAGAGUCCUUCAGGGAAGAACUCCUUGAAUAUAGUACUUGGACAUAGCACAUGAAAACUUCUGAGAAGAGAGGAAAAUAGGCCACACUUCCUUAUCAGAUAAGACUGAGAGGGAAUUGAAUAAAAUUAUCUGGGCAAUUGGAGGCUUUCCACAAUUACACGGAAAUGAACUCUCUGGGCCCAGAGCGUCAAUGUGCGGGACAGCGCCAUCUGGAGGCGUGGCCAGGUAACAAAAGGGGAAUGUGGGCCAGGUAACAAAAGGGGAGUGUGGCCCUGACUCCAGAGCGCUGCCUUUUCUCUCUCCAUCAACUCACCCUUCUGGCUGCAGCCCCCAAGCACAAGGCAGAGGGGAAGGAGGGCAGAGCACGAGGCAGAGGAUGUCUGGCAGCACGAUUGGGUAGUUUGGGUCCGGGGAAGGCUGUUCUGGGAGUCAUUUGAGGGCACAGGUGGCAGAUGACAAGCAGCGUACAAAAGGCGUUAAUUGGGAAGCACACUUAAAAAGUUGGACAGGAGGAAAUGGGUGUUUGCAGUAGAAGAGAGAAAACGUCAUCCUGACAGUCCAUCAUCACCAGUCAUCACAGAAUGAGCAACUUGUCCAGGCCAUUCUGCUCUACCAAGAGUGGUCAUGUCCGUUUUCUCAAUGGAUCUUUAAGAAUGGGGAUUUAAAAUUGGUCAGUUCCUCCACUUGAGCGACACAACUAUGAGGGACUGAAUGUUUGCGUCUCCCCCGAUUCAU